rnacentral:rRNA from 1 species
UGAGGAAUAUUGGUCAAUGGGCGCAAGCCUGAACCAGCCAUGCCGCGUGCAGGAUGAAGCAUCUAUGGUGUGUAAACUGCUUUUGUACGGGAAGAAACCACCCCUCGUGAGGGGUAUUGACGGUACCGUAAGAAUAAGGAUCGGCUAACUCCGUGCCAGCAGCCGCGGUAAUACGGAGGAUCCAAGCGUUAUCCGGAAUCAUUGGGUUUAAAGGGUCCGUAGGCGGUUUAGUAGGUCAGUGGUGGAAGCCCAUCGCUCAACGAUGGAACGGCCAUUGAUACUGUUAGACUUGAAUUACAAGGAAGUAACUAGAAUAUGUAGUGUAGCGGUGAAAUGCUUAGAUAUUACAUGGAAUACCAAUUGCGAAGGCAGGUUACUACUUGUGGAUUGACGCUGAUGGACGAAAGCGUGGGGAGCGAACA